GGACCAUUGUGGAGGCUGCGCAGGGUCUGUACUCAGUGUGGGAGCUGGAGGAGUGCACGGAGGAGCCUCAUCAGUCCUGUGUCCUCUUGUCCUGAACCCUGGAGGAGUCCUAGUCUGCAGGUGGGCAGCAGGGAGCUGACUGUGCCUUACUUGCAGGCAUCCCUGAUGCUCAGCUGGGAUGGAGGAAGUGCCCAGGCUAAGCAGCACCCACAGCUGAUGUGAAAAGCAGGCCUGAGUGGGGCUCCCUGUGUGCAUCAGAGCCUGCUGUUCAGAGCCUUGCCUGACUCACUGCUCCUGUCUUUAGAAAGCAUUCUUGAAGUGUGGAGUUCCCACCAUGAGAGCAUGAUCUACACUGCCUGGAGGGCCACCGAGCCCAUGGCCCAUGGCAGCAGUGCAGCAGCACUGUGCAGACCACCAUGAGGGAAAGACCUCUGGAUCUGCUCAGAGAAGAAAGCAGCAUUCUGUGUUACUCUGAGAGCAGACCUGAGCAGCGGAUGUUGAGCAGCUCCAGGGCGUGAGGUGCAGACCUGCAGGGUCCCAGGCACCGGGCAGGCUCUCUGUGCCCUGCUGCCUUCCUCCUCACACAAACCCAGCGUGGCUGCUCCAGUCCUCAGCUUCCUGAGCCUGAAAAUGGGCUCACAGCUUCUCAGAAUUCUGCUUGGAACCUCCAUGCCCAGCACAGCCCAGAUGCAGUCAUGGGAAGAAGAGAGUGCCUUUGUGUGGCCUGAAGAAGAA
rnacentral:lncRNA from 1 species